rnacentral:sRNA from 1 species
AUUGUUAAAGAAAUCCAAAUCCGCUAGAUGUAUCAGAGUGUUGAGAAAGCUUCUCCUAGAGUUAAGAGAAAAGAAAAGAAUGAUAUGAAAAAGAGUUUAAAAGAUUCACGAGUGCAAAGGGUAGAGUUAAGUUCUUGUAUUGGGACUGGAGUUGGGAUUACCAUUACAGCUUCAUUGUUAUACUCUGGGUAGAUGGGAUCUUAUCUCUGUAUGCAUAGCUUGGGACUUACCUUUAGCAUUCUACUAAAGCUCAAUCAUUUUUUGAGAGAUCCCCUGUUACUGAAGCCUAUUCUGUAAAGGACCAUCUUUGUCUCUUGACCUUUACCUUAGCCAAAGGAGUUCAUUGAUGAUGCAUUGCUUGAUUCACGUUCCAGAACUAAUGAAUGUUAAAGGGAUUGGUGGAUUUGAAAGCAUGUGUAGGUCGAGUAUAAGAGACGGAUUGAUUGAUAACAAGGCAUGGCUAACGUUUUUGAGUAAAAUUCGAUCAUAUCGCAUCUUAGAACUACCAACUUAGACAUUGAUUUUAUUUGCUCUACAUGAUGCUUUGGGUCUGAGUCCCCACCUUCAAACCUCUCCUUCAACUAUGUCUUCUCAUUUGCUUGAGGGCAAGCAAAGACUAAGUUUGGGAGAGUUGAUAUGUCUAUAAUUUGCAUGUUUUCAGUGUUUAUUAAUCAUCAUUUUGAGUCUAGUUUCAUAUCAUUCAUCACUGUUUUAUAUCAUUUCUUAUCAUUCUUGCAUACUUUGUAUGAUUAGGACAGCUUUGCAUACAUAUUGCAUUUCUGAGUUGUUUUCAGGUGAUUUGGAGCUGUUUGCGAGCAAAUUGGAAGAAGCGAGCCAGAACCAGAGGACAUACUCGACCCCCAGGCCGAGUACAUCUAGCACAAUACUCGACCCCCUGGUCGAGUGACUUUGGAGCCAUUCUACCCAUCUACUCGACCCCCAGGUCGAGUAACCGUAGCUCAGGCCACUCGACGACAUUACUCGACCCCCUGGUCGAGUAUCACUUUGCCACACCACCUGACCACACUCGGCCGUUCACUCCCCCACGUUACUCGACCCCCUGGUCGAGUAUCAUCACUCACCACGAACACCAUCACUCGACCAAGCACUCGAUCACAUCUUUGGAGUCUACUCAAAUCCGUACUCAACCAGACAAGAUGAGCACAAGGAAGAGAGGAGGAGAAGACGAAGUGUUUGGAAGCGGCCUGGAGCCCCAUCGGAUCACGAAGUCCAUCUCGGCCCAUUAUCACUCUAUGGGCCGGGUGAUUAGGUUAUUGGCCCGUCUACUAUCAUUUUAUUUCGUUUUGUAUAAAUAGAUGUCCGAGACAUCUAGUCGACUUCGAGUUUUUGCUUCAGUUUUAUUUUCUGUUUUACUCUGGUUGCGCCGCUUUUGCUUCUUCAACCUGUAAUUCGAGAUUUUUCCAAGUUAUUCAGAUUUCGCAUUUAAUUUCACCUGUCAUCUACUCUUUAUCUCUUUACUUAUGCAAUAUUAUCAUUUACCUGCGUUUAUGUCUUUGAGCAUGUUGUCUGAGUAGUGACAUAGAGUUCUUAAUGAUGGGAUAAAGUAGUUGUGGAAUCCAUAGUCUGUAGAAUGGUUAAGUUUUAGAAUUGAUUGAAUCCCUUCAGGACUAGUUGUGUUUACUGCUUAUUUCUUUCUGAUGAACUGGAAUUCGAUCCCAAGCAUUCCCACACCAAGAAGGCGUUCGAUGGAAUGCUUGAUCCACUAGUUCCUGAGAUAUUCGUCUUUAUCCCAAGGGAUUGGCCGUUUAUAGCGUUUAUU